rnacentral:rRNA from 1 species
ACCACGCCGCCUACUCUUGGACAGCCUUCUGAAAGGAAGAUUAAUACAAGAUGGCAUCAUGAGUCCGCAUGUUCACAUGAUUAAAGGUAUUCCGGUAGACGAUGGGGAUGCGUUCCAUUAGAUAGUAGGCGGGGUAACGGCCCACCUAGUCUUCGAUGGAUAGGGGUUCUGAGAGGAAGGUCCCCCACAUUGGAACUGAGACACGGUCCAA